UUGAGGAAAAACUAGAGGGGACGACAAAAGAGUUGGGGCGGCGCAUAUGUGAAUCCCAAAUCAAGGGCGGUGGAACCCGUGAGAUAACCCUGUUUACGCAGUUCCGACGAUGGCACGAACUAAGGGCAGUGGAACAGCUAGUGGUAGAGCUAAGGAAAAGGGUAAGGCAACUGUCGAUGGGUCUGAGGUAGCUGACGGUGGCGCACCUGUGAAUGAAGCAACAGAAGGAAGCUGUGUCAACUUUGGGAUUUAGUCAUUUGAUUGGUCUCACAAUUCAGGAGCUGCCUGGAAAGUUAGAUUAUUUUUGUAGUUGAUUGCUUCAAUGCCAGGAGGUCACAGAUUGUGCUUCCAUCGGGCAAGUCAAUAGAGAUAACGGAGGAUGAUGCGUACAAAGUACUUGGGUUUCCUCGCGGUGAUAAGGAGAUUGAACUUUUGUCAAAGGAUGAGACCACUGAUUUAUACGAUGAGUGGGUUAGCUAUUUUCCAUAAAAACAUCGCAAGAACAUAAAGAUUAGAGAUGUUAAAGAUGCAAUGUUGGCCUCCGUUGAUGGUAGACGUUGGUUUAAGAUUCAUUUCCUGGUGAUGGUUACCCACUGCCUCAUCGAGAGCACAAAAAAUGGAGACGUUAUAUACCUAGAGUAAUGUUUGGUACU